GACGAACGCUGGCGACGUGCUUAACACAUGCAAGUCGAACGAUGAACUUGGAGCUUGCUAUGGGGGAUUAGUGGCGAACGGGUGAGUAACACGUGAGUAACCUGCCUUGGACUCUGGGAUAACUUCGAGAAAUCGGAGCUAAUACCGGAUAGGACCUUGCACCGCAUGGUGUGGGGUGGAAAGUUUUUCGGUUUGGGAUGGACUUGCGGCCUAUCAGCUUGUUGGUGAGGUGAUGGCUCACCAAGGCGUCGACGGGUAGCCGGCCUGGGAGGGUGACGGGCCACACUGGGACUGGGACACGGCCCAGACUCCUACGGGAGGCAGCAGUGGGGAAUAUUGCACAGUGGGCGCAAGCCUGAUGCAGCUACGCCGCGUGAGGGAUGACGGCCUUGGGGUUGUAAACCGCUUUUAGUAGGGAAGAAGCCUUCGGGUGACGGUACCUGCAGAAAAAGGACCGGCUAACUACGUGCCAGCCGCCGCAGUAACAC
rnacentral:rRNA from 1 species